rnacentral:lncRNA from 1 species
ACAACCGUGCAAUUGAGCCCAACUCUAAAUUUACAUAACACACUCUCUCUUUCAGACUUUCACUAUUACACAUAACCCUAAAACAUGAUAACAUUCAAAUUCCUAAAUUCCUAAUUUUUUUCCCUCUCUCUCUCUCUCUCUCUCUCUCUCUCAGACCCUCACCCGGUCAGGCAGUCACCCUAGCUCUCUCUCAGACCCUCAUCUGGUCAUGCAGUCACCCUAGCUCACAUUUUUUGUAAUUAUUUUGUAUUUUUAACUAUCGGACAUGUUGCAUCAAAUUAUAGGUAAUAUUCUUUAAAAAUUAAACUAUUGAUUAUAUAUAUAUAAUGUAUUUUAAUUAUAUAUAGGCUUUAAUUUAAUUUGGGCCAUUAUUGUUGGCCCAUAAAAUAAACCCAACAAGUACAAUCGUGCAAUUGAGCCCAACUCUAAAUUUACAUAACACACUAUCUCUUUCAGACUUUCACUGUUGCACAUAACCCUAAAACAUAAUAACAUUCAAAUUCCCAAAUCUCUAAUUUUUUUCCCCUCUCUCUCUCUCUCUCUCUCUAAAGAGGUGGUGGAGCCUCCUCCUACUCCGCACCCAGUGUUUGCUGUUCGGUCUCUUCUCCGACGCCUCCGCUUCCUGAAACCAUUGAACUAUUCUGUCGACCACAUUGCACCAUUACAAUCACAGUUGUAGUCUUUUACCCUACGUUUCACUAUUAAUCGUCGUGCACGUCGCACUGUUAAUCCCUGUCGCAUUUAAUGCUAGCGGCAGGCACUGUUAAUCCCUGUCACAUUUAAUGCUAGCGGCAGGCACGAAAAGUGACAUGUACGUUAUAUUCGGUUAAGUGAGGCGAAAAGGCACCGGCGGGUUGGUCAGCCGACGAUUCGUUUUGUUUAAAUAUGGGUUCUUCAGAUGCAUUCCCCUUUACGAAGACACUACCUUUGGUGAAGAAGGUGAAUCGACAACGGCGUUCCCCGCAAGAGGAAGCGCAGCGCCGAAGUGCAGUUGCACUGUUAGAAGGGCAGUUGCACUAUUUUUCCUGGCAUUGCUACUUUGUGUUGCACUAUUAUCCCUGUUGCGGGGAGUGCAGUUUUUGUCAUUUAUCUUGAGAAAUUGUAUUAAAAUCUUAAAGCCGAACAGCAAACAGUGGGGCCGGCGAAUAAAGGGGCGGAUGUGGUUCGGGUUCCGAGAAAUGAGCGAGAUUGCGUAAGGCGGAAACGGUGCAUUUAAUGCGCGCUAGACCGUAGGGCAUGGUAGUAUAUGUAUGUCGAGGAAUACGCGGACGGCUUUUGUAUACGAGGGGCAUUUUGGUCCGGCGGACGAAAAAGCGGACCGAAUCUGCAAAAACGAAAAAGGUGGCCCGAAUUUGCAAAAGCCCAAAAUAAAUGGAUUUUUUAUGGAAAUUGGCCAAAAAAUUAUAAAGAAAAAAAAAUAUUAAUAUUUAAUUAUGUAACGGAGGAAAAAAGUAUUGUUGUUGUAAUUUUUUGAAAUUUUAAAACCCUGUCAUUGGUAUUUACUCUUAUUUGUUGUAUUACAUAAAUAUCAUAUAUAAUUCAAAAAAUAAUAUACUCGAUUUACAUUUGCAAAUGUAUUUUUUCUAAUUAAUUAAUCGAUAAAAUUUAUAAUUUAAUUCUCAAAACAAUUAAAAUGUCAAAAUUGGUUUUCUCCCUAUUAAUCUGAGAGAGUGGCAAUUUCGGUAUUUCCAAAUUUCAAAAACCACUAUCUUCUUAUCCCAAAAACCAUCCAAACACUAUGGGGUGUUUGGCCUAACUUUUAAAAAGUGCUUUUGCGUUGACAAGUAAUUUUUGGCUUAAUAGAGCAUUGGGCAACCUCAUUUUUAAAAUCUGAUUUUACUUUUCAGAAUCAGAAAACUGAUUUUGAACGCCCAGAAUCAGAAGCAGAAAAAAGCUGCUUCUUGAAAUCUGAUUCUGAUUUUAGACUCAAACUUCAUAUUUUUAUUUUAAUUUUAAAUUCAAAGUUUAAAUUUUAAUUUUAAUUUUAAUUUUAAUUUUAAUUUUAAUUUUCAGAUUCAUUUUUGAAUUUUUAAAUUUUAACUUUUAAAUUUUAAAAUUUGAAAAAUAGAUUUCAAACUNUUUUAAUUUUAAUUUUAAUUUUAAUUUUCAGAUUCAUUUUUGAAUUUUUAAAUUUUAACUUUUAAAUUUUAAAAUUUGAAAAAUAGAUUUCAAACUUUAAAUUUUAAUUUUAAUUUUAAAUUUCAAAUCUCAAAUUUUAGAUUUUAAAAUUUCAAAUUUUCAAUUUCAAAUUUAAAA